rnacentral:rRNA from 1 species
AGAGUUUGAUCUUGGCUCAGGAUGAACGCUGGCGGUAUGCCUGAGAUAUGCAAGUCGAGCGCAGUCCCGACCGCAAGGUCGUGGAUUCAGCGGCGGACGGCUGAGUAAUACAUAGAAAUCUGCCCCUUUCUGGAGGAUAGCCCCGCGAAAGCGGGGGUAAUACUUCAUAGUGUCAUGCCUAGCAUGACUAAAGGACGUAACUGUUCGGAAAGGGAUGAGUCUGUGUCCUAUCAGGUAGUUGGUAGGGUAAUGGCCUACCAAGCCAAUCACGGGUAGCUGGUCUGAGAGGAUGGCCAGCCAGAGGGGGACUGAGACACGGCCCCCACUCCUACGGGAGGCAGCAAUCAGGAAUAGUCGGCAAUGGACGAAAGUCUGACCGCGCGAUACCGCGUGUAGGAUGAAGCUCUCACGAGUGUAAACUACUGUGGAGAAGGAAGAAGUCUGGCGUAAGCCAGAUUGACGGUACUUCUCUAGAAAGGGGCCGCUAACUGCGUGCCAGAAGCGUCGGUAAUACGUGGGCCUCAAGCGUUAUCCGGUAUCACUGGGCAUAAAGGGUCGUGUAGGUGUCUUGUUAAGUUUCUGUUUAAAGAUCAAGGCUCAACCUUGGGAAAGGCGGAAAAACUGGCAAGAUAGAAUUUCCUUAAGGGGGAUCGGAACUGAGAGAGGAGUAGUGAAAUGCGUUGAUACUCUCGGGAACACCAGUGGCGAAGGCGGAUCUCUGGAAGGAAAUUGGCACUGAGACACGAAAGCUAGGGGAGCGAAGCAGAUUAGAGACCUGCGUAGUCCUAGCCCUAAACGAAUGCUUGCUAGCUGCAUGAUCUCAGAACUUAGACGAUAGGCAAUAGACGACAGACGAUAGUCAUAAUAUGACUAUUGUCUAUAGUCUAACGUCUGUAGUCUGCGUUCUGAUAUCGUGUGGCGAAGGAAAUCCGUUAAGCAAGCCGCCUGGGGAGUACGGCCGCAAGGCUAAAACUCAAAGGAAUUGGCGGGGAGGCACACAACCAGUGGAACAUGUGGUUCAAUUCGAUACAAACCGAAGCACCUCACCAGGGUUUGAAAUGCUAGAGUUCUAUACCGAUGAAAGUUGGUAGAUGCGCAAGCAGGCUAGCACAGGUGCUGCAUGGCUGUCGUCAGCUCGUUCCGUGAGGAGUGCCCUUAAGUGGGACAACGAGCGCAACCCCCGUCUCAUGUUAUAUUUGUCAUGAGAUACUGCCCGAGCUUUGCUCGGGAGGAAGGAGGGGCAGACGUCAAGUCAGCAUGGUCCUUAUACCCUGGGCUACACACAUGUUACAAUGAAAGGAGCGACGGGCUUUGCAAACCGGUAACGGCCAGCGAAUCCCUUAAACCCUUUCUCAGUGGGGAUUGAGGUCUGAAACUCGACCUCAUGAACGUGGAAUUGGUAGUAAUCGCGGGUCAGCUACACCGCGGUGAAUACGUUCUUGCCUCUUGUACACACCGCCCGUC